CGGAGUCGACUUUCACUUUAACUUGAGAGGCGACAUUGCGCUUUCGCGCGUCUAGUGCUUCCACCUUGUUCGCCUUGGAUCUUGCUUCUCCUUUGUCUUUUAUAUCCUCUUCUCGAACUAGAAUAAACAACUUACCAACAUGUUUCUCUAGGAAGAAAACUGAAGGAGAAGAAGAAGAAGACGAUACUAGGGAAAAAAUUAUAGAUCAUAAUCAUCAAAGAACGAACAAUAGAAGAAGCAGUUCAGAUUCUAAACCAGUAAGUUGCCAUCUUGGCAAGCUAAUACCUUGCUGGACCAAUUGCA